GCUCUGGCCGGGCGGUCCACCAAUUUGGCUGGCACUGCUUCGGCUGGGGUUCACCUUCUGGUAAUCCACCAUGUCCUCAGUUGGGUGUGGUGAGGAACCAGGGCUUUUUACCUUGAAAAAAUUAGAGUGUUUAAAGCAGGCCCACGCUUGAAUACAUUAGCAUGGAAUAAUAGAAUAGGACUGCGGUUCUAUUUUGUUGGUUUAGGACCGAAGUA
rnacentral:rRNA from 1 species